GGGGAAUAUUGCACAAUGGGCGGAAGCCUGAUGCAGCGACGCCGCGUGAGGGAUGACGGCCUUCGGGUUGUAAACCUCUUUCAGCAUCGACGAAGCCGUAAGGUGACGGUAGGUGCAGAAGAAGCGCCGGCCAACAACGUGCCAGCAGCCGCGGUAAGACGUAGGUGGCGAGCGUUGUCCGGAUUUAUUGGGCGUAAAGAGCUCGUAGGCGGCUUGUCGCGUCGUCUGUGAAAACCCGCGGCUCAACUGUGGGCUUGCAGGCGAUACGGGCAGGCUGGAGUUCGGUAGGGGAGACUGGAAUUCCUGGUGUAGCGGUGAAAUGCGCAGAUAUCAGGAGGAACACCAGUGGCGAAGGCGGGUCUCUGGGCCGAUACUGACGCUGAGGAGCGAAAGCGUGGGGAGCGAAC
rnacentral:rRNA from 1 species